GCCGUCGACGGUGGGGGUGGGAUGGGCCCCCCCCCCCGGUGCGGGAGCCGACCCCCUCCCUUCCGGCCCCGCCCCGCCGGCCGCCGUGGGGGUGGGGGGAUUCGGGAGGGGGGGUUCGGGGGUGGGGGUGGGCGGAGCGCGCAACCCGGGCGCGGCGUCGCGGCGUCGCGGCGGCAGGUGGACGCGAGGGGCCCGGGCAGAUAAUAUUCCAUUGUGUGUGUAUACAGUGGUUUGACUUAAUCAGUCCAUCCAUUCAUCGUUGUUUGCAGUUUGGGGUUUGGUGAACAGGACUGCCACGUACAAGUCUUUGUGCGCAGGAUGUCGGAGAAGAGAGACGGAGGUGUGCGUCGGCAACCUUCCCCUGAAACCUUGAGGUGUUCUUCUGUCCACCGCUGCUCGUCCUUGGCCCCCCCUUAUGACUUAGCAGCCUGCGGUCACCUAAUGUCACCAGGGCCGAAAGACACUUUAGAAACGUGGACGUGCCGGUGAGGAGGCUCAUUGGCUCCCCCGUCUGCCUUGGACGUGGCCAGUUUGGGCCCAGAAAGUGCUGUGCCUUGCACGCUUCCCCUUCCCGCCCCACGUGACCCUGGGUGGGGGUCGCCCUGCCUGCUGCUCUGGAUGGAGGGGGCUCGCCAGGGUGUAAGUGCCUGCCCCCCGGUCCCAGGAAGGGGUGGGUUUCAGCCAAAAAGCUGCACCGUACGAUUUUGAAACCGGUUCGGUCAGUUGGCUGUGCACUUGGAGACUAGAACACAAACAGCGGAGUCUGACCCCAGGAAUCGUACUGUCUGGGGAGGCGGGCGACAGCCUGAAAAUCUCGGAGCGCCAUCCCUGCCUGAAAUGGUGCAUCGGAAGGACAGACGGCGGAAACUGAAGCGUAAUUUACUGACUGAAGCUGCCCUUGGCCUUUUGUGGGGCGUUUGUAUUUUGUACAUUCUGCAGAAUAACGAGCCUGAGACGCAGCACGCUUAAAGUUGGUGACCUAGCUCUCGCACUGCAGCUUAGUCCGGGACGACAGAGGACAGCAGCUAACCUCUGGGGGCCCGCCACAGGCCACGCAUCUCUCAGGGAUUUGCCGGCCCGCGCGCCUCCUUGCCAAGCAGUGAAAGUCCGCGCUGCCUGCCCGGUUGUACUUGACUCCUCCUGCGCCACCCGCUCUGUUUUAAUUACCGGGAAUGCUCCAGGAAGUCGGCUGAAUGCUGCAACAGCGUGGUUCUGUCACGUUCUUAGAACAACCCUGGGCGGCGGGUGGCGACUCCCUCUUGGGGACGAAGAAGCUGGAGGUUGGAUCCCUCAGCCAACAAUUGAAUGCACGUCCCCCGUCGCCGCCAGGCACCAAACCACGUGACCGAUGAGCUACAGUUCGGCAUCCGCAGAAUCCGAACACUGUCAUGCCCCCCGCUGCCUCACGCUGUCCCAUGUCACCAUCAUCCCACCUGGGUCACCACGGCCUCCUCGUGUUUCUCUUCUGCUCUGAUCCCCACAGCCGCGGCGACCCCGUGUCGGGAGGUGGGUCCUAGGUCUUUACUCCGCUGCCUCCCUCUUGUUAGGAAGAGCCGAGCGCCCUGGGCCCCCGCCUGAGCCGUCCCCUGCAGCCCUGAGCCUGCGCCUCCUUCCCAUCCCUUGCUCUGUGUCAGCCUCCCUGGCCUCCUUGCCCCAGGGCCUUUGCACUUGCUGCCCCGCCCCUUCCCCACUUGACCACGCCCUUUACGCUCUUUGUUCAGUUGUCAGUCUCUCAAAGGGCCUGGCUGGCCAUGCUGCCGAGCCCUCCGUCCCUUCCCUCCCGUCCCCUCUCUGACUUUGUGUGUUUCACUUACAGACUCACCAGGCGCGCUACUCACUCGUCCUAUUGAUUGUCUUCCCCAGAGAAGAGAAGCCCCGGGAGAGAGGGGUUUGUGCGCUCUGUUCACGGCACCUGAAGUGUUGGGCGAGGCGGAGGGCGUUAGGUAUCAGUGUGGGGACAGCAGGCACCAGUGUGCCUCCGCCUGCUGUCCAGGGAGCAGGUGAAUUGAGGCAGGCGAGAGGAGUGGUGUGUCCAGGGCCUUGAGAAGCUGGGAGAGGCGGCGUCCAGAGCAAGGGCAGGUCUUCCCGGUGGGGAUGCGUCCCGGGGCGCAGGGAGGUGACCGAUGUGGGGCUGGCCGCGUGCAGAGUUCCCUUCUGAUCCAUCUCUGUUUCCAGUGAAAUCGGAACCCGGGUGGCCAGCGGGGCGGGAGCAGCAGAGCCCGGGAGGGUCCCGGUGGCGCAGGGCGCGGGCUGGGAAGGCAUCUGGGGGCGGCGUGGCCACUGGCGAGGCGGGGACACAGGCCGUGGGGACUCUGGCAGUCCCUCGUCUGUGUGUGUCUGUGGCUUUUAUCCCCUGAUACACUCAUAACCACACGUCUGUGUCCACACACACACACCUAGGUUGUACGGGACAAAAUGGCAGGUGUUACCAAACACGUCUGUUCAGUUUUGCAUGGUUCAGACUAGUAUUUUCCCAGUUUUUUCUGCUGUCACCAGAGCUUCAGGGAACUGGCUUGAGUGUGUCCACGUGCACACAUGUGAGUGUCUCCAGGACGCGUGCCGGGUGUGGGAUCAGGGCCACUCGGUCCACAUGCCCCCAGCGGCCUCAGCAGCUCCUCCGUUGUCUGGCUGCGUUCUGAUGGCGUGGACGGACUUCCCGUGAAGGUCACGGCAUAACCUUCCACCUGUUUGGUGUGAAGUCAGUGGUCCGUAAAUGCUGGGGCCUGACUUAGUAGCAGACUGGAGAUCCCUUAAGUGGUAUUUUUGGUAGUGAUUGAUUGAAAGGAAUAUAUCGUGAAGCGAAAUAGGUUACGAAGCGGAAAGUACGUAUAUUUUAAACUUCGUUUUGUAUUUUCUGUGUUUCUGUAAUAAACAUUCAGUGCUUUUAUAAC